rnacentral:rRNA from 1 species
AUUGAGCGCUGGCGGCAGGCUUAACACAUGCAAGUCGAGCGGGGGAAGGUAGCUUGCUACUGGACCUAGCGGCGGACGGGUGAGUAAUGCUUAGGAAUCUGCCUAUUAGUGGGGGACAACAUCUCGAAAGGGAUGCUAAUACCGCAUACGUCCUACGGGAGAAAGCAGGGGAUCUUCGGACCUUGCGCUAAUAGAUGAGCCUAAGUCGGAUUAGCUAGUUGGUGGGGUAAAGGCCUACCAAGGCGACGAUCUGUAGCGGGUCUGAGAGGAUGAUCCGCCACACUGGGACUGAGACACGGCCCAGACUCCUACGGGAGGCAGCAGUGGGGAAUAUUGGACAAUGGGGGGAACCCUGAUCCAGCCAUGCCGCGUGUGUGAAGAAGGCCUUAUGGUUGUAAAGCACUUUAAGCGAGGAGGAGGCUACUUUAGUUAAUACCUAGAGAUAGUGGACGUUACUCGCAGAAUAAGCACCGGCUAACUCUGUGCCAGCCGCCGCCGUAA